rnacentral:rRNA from 1 species
UACGGGGGGGGUAAGCGUUGUUCGGAAUUACUGGGCGUAAAGGGCUCGUAGGCGGCCAACUAAGUCGGACGUGAAAUCCCUCAGCUUAACUGGGGAACUGCGUCCGAUACUGGAUGGCUUGGAUUUGGGAGAGGGAUGCGGAAUUCCAGGUGUAGCGGUGAAAUGCGUAGAUAUCUGGAGGAACACCGGUGGCGAAGGCGGCAUCCUGGACCAACAUUGACGCUGAGGAGCGAAAGCUAGGGGAGCAAAACGGG